UAGCCGCAGUUGGCUGUCUUUUGCAAAGAUUCGCUAGCGGUUAAUUCUAGAUAUUUUUCAAAGAAGCAGUUGCGGAAAUGUUUCACUGGUGUGGUUAUGAAUAACAGGGACAUGUCAAAAAUCUUGUGAUGGCGGCGAUGUUAAAGGAUAAAGGUCAAUAUACAUUUGAAGAAAAAUGGCCGUGCAUGCGCCCGAUUAUAUUAAAGCUGCUGAAACAGGAGCCGGUGAGCCAAGCGGAAUGGCAAGACUUGUUUUCCUCCGUUUACUUAGUAUGUUCAUGGGAUGAAAAAGGACCAACUAGAUUGAGAGAUGCGCUGACAGAAGAUAUAUUGGAUUUCAUAAAACAAGCACAACAGAGAGUACUGGCACACCAAGAAGAACAAGCUUUGUUGAAAGCUUAUGUUGCCGAGUGGAGAAAAUUUUUUACACAAUGUAAUUAUUUACCAACUCCAUUUAGGCAAUUGGAAACUGCCUUGGCAGGAAGAAGUUCUACUGUACAAAAAAGAAAUCAACCGGACGAGAGUAUAGUUAAAAAGUUAAUGCUAGAUAGUUGGAAGCAGAGCAUAUUUGGUGAGAUAAAACAGAAACUACAAGAUUCAGCAAUGAGACUCGUACGUGCGGAAAGAAAUGGUGAAUCAUUUGACUCUCAGUUAGUCAUCGGAGUUAGGGAAUCUUAUGUAAAUUUAUGCUCAAAUGCUACGGAUAAACUUCAAAUUUAUAGAGAAAAUUUUGAAGCAGCUUACAUCGAAGCAACAGAAGCAUUUUAUUGGGUAAAAGCACCAGAAAAGUUGUCUCUGCACGGUGUGGAAAAUUAUAUGCGUUAUGCAGAAGCAAAAUUGCGGGAAGAAGAAUUGCGAGCCCAAAAGUAUUUAGAACAAAGUGGCUCGAGUGUACAACUUUUAACAGACUGUUGUGUGAAAGGAUUGGUAGCUACCUUUAAACCUGCUAUAUUAGCAGAAUGUCCUAGGAUGAUACAGCAUCAUCAAACAGAUAAGCUACGGUUGAUGUUAAAAUUGAUGGAUCGAGUCCCAGAUGGAGUUGGGCCCAUGCUAAGAGACCUCGAAGAGCACAUAGCAAAUGCAGGUCUAGCUGAUAUGAUGGCUGCGGUAGACGUUAUAACUCAAGACUCAGAGAAAUAUGUCGAAAGGCUAUUAGAUUUGUUUAAUCGAUUUUCAAAACUUGUCCAAGAGGCAUUUAACAAUGAUCCACGGUUUUUGACUGCUCGUGAUAAAGCCUAUAAACUAAUUGUCAAUGACGCUUCGGUAUUUCGUUUGGAGUUACCAGCACGACAGGGUCCAGGAGUAGGAGUAUUAGUCACGAACAGUAAACCUAAUAACAAUAAUAAUGGACAACCAGAGUCUAAAUGUCCAGAACUGUUGGCUAAUUACUGUGAUAUGUUACUUAGAAAAACUCCCCUCAGCAAGAAACUUACUCCUGAUCAAAUUGAGAAAAAGCUGAAAGAUGUGUUGCUGGUAUUAAAAUAUGUCCAAAAUAAGGACGUUUUCAUGAGAUAUCAUAAAGCUCAUUUAACGAGGCGGUUAAUAUUGGAUACGUCUGCUGAUUCAGAGAAAGAGGAGAAUAUGGUAGAAUGGCUUCGAGAAGUUGGCAUGCCAGCGGACUAUGUUAACAAAUUGGCACGAAUGUUUCAAGACAUCAAAGUAUCACAAGAUCUUAAUCAGCAGUUUAAGGAGCAAUGUCGAGCUGCUAUUGCUGACAGUAUAAACAUCAAGAUACUAAAUGCUGGAGCCUGGGCGAGAGGGAGUGAACGAGUCACGGUUAGUCUCCCUCUUCAACUAGAAGAUUAUAUACCUGAAGUUGAAGAAUUUUACAAGAAGAAGCAUAGUGGGCGCAAACUGCAGUGGUACCAUCAUAUGUCUAAUGGCACGAUAACAUUUUCCAACCAAGUGGGUCGAUUCGACGUGGAUGUGACGACAUUUCAAAUGGCAGUAUUAUUUGCAUGGAAUCAACGGCCGUUAGAAAAAAUUUCGUACGAAAAUCUUCGCUUAGCUACCGAGCUACCCGAUCCUGAAUUAAGACGUACGCUGUGGUCACUGUGCGCAUUUCCCAAAUUAAAACGUCAGCUACUUUUAGUGGAGCCAAUUGCUCACAGCCCUAAGGAUUUUGCUCACGAUACCAGGUUUUGGGUGAAUCAAGAAUUUGCUGUAGUAAAGAAUGGCAAACUUCAGAAACGUGGAAAAAUUAAUCUCAUCGGUCGCCUUCAACUUUCUACAGAGCGUAGCAAGGAGGAGGAUAAUCAGUCGAUUGUUCAGCUUAGGAUAUUGCGGGUUCAGGAGGCCAUUAUUAAAAUCCUGAAAAUGAGGAAGAAAAUUAACAACGCACAGUUGCAAACCGAACUAGUGGACAUACUGAAGAAUAUGUUCCUACCGAGUAAGAAGAUGAUCAAAGAACAGAUUGAGUGGCUUAUUGAGCACAAGUAUAUUCGAAGACAUGACGACGAUAUCAACACAUUUGUGUACAUGGCGUAACCUCGACGACCUCGCGUUUUCGGGCAAUCGCCCGGGCAUCUAUGACUAAUAUUAUAUUUUUAUAAAACCUGAGUUUCUUCCGCGCAGUUGUAAUCCUGCGAGGGCAUGAGAACAGUUCCGCCUGCGAAUUCAGGCAGAUACUAUCUUUCGGACAGAGUACUUCAGUAUUGCAUCGUGACGAUUCUUUGGUGAACACCCUAUAAAGGAUGUCAAAUUUGUUCAAUUGAAAAAUGUGAGUACUGGAUUCUGUUAGCUCGAGUUCAAAUUAACCAUAGAAUUUAUUAAGUCGACAAUUGUUAAAGAUUUAACGUUAAUUCCUGUAGUAAUGUAACAAAUUUAAAAUCCUAAUGCAUAAGCGAUGAAAAAAGGUAUUUCUUUCCUCCAAUGUGAGAAUGUUCGGGUGAAUUGUUUGGGUAUGUCAUUACACCACUACACGUACAUAUAUAAAUAUUAGAAUUUUAUGUUCAAAGGUAUAUACGUCGUGAAACAUAUACAUCUAUGCAAGAAGCACUGGUAACAAUGAUUUGUAUAAAGCCUUUAUAAUACUUGAAUGAUCUAAGUAAGUGUGUAAGGAUAUUGAAUCGCAUUGAAUUAAAGAUUCAAAUUUUCCAUA
rnacentral:misc_RNA from 1 species